UGAGGAAUAUUGGUCAAUGGGCGAGAGCCUGAACCAGCCAAGUAGCGUGCAGGAUGACGGCCCUAUGGGUUGUAAACUGCUUUUAUAUGGGAAUAAAGUGAGGGACGUGUCCCUUAUUGCAUGUACCAUAUGAAUAAGGACCGGCUAAUUCCGUGCCAGCAGCCGCGGUAAUACGGAAGGUCCAGGCGUUAUCCGGAUUUAUUGGGUUUAAAGGGAGCGUAGGCCGCGUUUUAAGCGUGUUGUGAAAUGUAGACGCCCAACGUCUGCAUCGCAGCGCGAACUGGGACGCUUGAGUACGCGCAACGUUGGCGGAAUUCGUCGUGUAGCGGUGAAAUGCUUAGAUAUGACGAGGAACUCCGAUUGCGAAGGCAGCUGACGGGAGCGGCACUGACGCUUAAGCUCGAAGGUGCGGGUAUCAAACAGG
rnacentral:rRNA from 1 species